rnacentral:rRNA from 1 species
AUUGAACGCUGGCGGCAGGCCUAACACAUGCAAGUCGAGCGGAGCGGCGGACGGGUGAGUAAUGCCUAGGAAUCUGCCUGGUAGUGGGGGAAAACGUACGGAAAGGGGCGCUAAUACCGCAUACUAUCAGAUGAGCCUAGGGUGGAUUUGCUAGUUGGUGGGGUAAAGGCUUACCAAGGCGAAGAUCCGUAACGGGUCUGAGAGCAUGAUCAGUCACACUGGAACUGAGACACGGCCCAGACUCCUACGGGAGGCAGCAGUGGGGAAUAUUGGGCAAUGGGCGAAAGCCUGAGCCAGCCAUGCCGCGUGUGUGAAGAAGGUCUUCGGAUUGUAAAGCACUUUAAGUUGGGAGGCGUUACCAAAAGAAUAAGCACCGGCUAACUACGUGCCAGCAGCCGCGGUAAUUC